rnacentral:rRNA from 1 species
UACAGAGGUCCCAAGCGUUGUUCGGAUUCACUGGGCGUAAAGGGUGCGUAGGUGGUGAGGUAAGUCGGAUGUGAAAGCUCCGAGCUCAACUCGGAAAUGGCAUUGGAAACUACCUUGCUCGAGGGUUUGAGGGGGGACUGGAAUACUUGGUGUAGCAGUGAAAUGCGUAGAUAUCAAGCGGAACACCAGUGGCGAAGGCGAGUCCCUGGACAACUCAUGACACUGAUGCACGAAAGUGUGGGGAUCAAACAGG